GGUAAGAUGGCUGAGUGCUGAAGCGUUAGGCUGUAGUCCUUUUGACAGAGGUUAAAUUCCUCUUCUUAUCG
rnacentral:tRNA from 1 species